rnacentral:lncRNA from 1 species
UUGUGAGUGACUUCAGCUGUCUCUUCAAGUGACAUCUAGCUACUUGAGAAAGGAGUGAUGACGAAAGUUCUUUGGACAGAAAACUUUCGCUGACAAGAAGGUGACAGGUCCUUGCACAGCUGGUCUCUGAUAUGCCUCAGAACGGACCCACAGAGUGACUAAUUUGAGCUUUGCAGUAGCUGGGAGGAAGUACAGGGCCCAUGCAUGCUGAGAGCUUGAAGAGGUCUGUAAGACAGGCUGGCAGUGGACACGGGCUGGAGGAACCCAUUGUUGGUGGGCAAAGGCCAGGAAACUUCGUUUGUUUAGAACAUGAGAACAUUGAACAUGUUCAUGAUUCACCUUCAGUGCUGUGAUCAUUGUUCAACUGUGCAAAAGAUUGUCACUGAGGAGUGGGAUUGUUGUGAUCUCAGGAUGUGAACUCAAAACCAAUGGAAGGAAAAAAUUGAGCUCUGGAAAUUUUUGUGGAAGAAUAAAGGCUGCCUCACAGAGGAGUGAGCUUUCUGUCAUGACAUAAUUCUACAGGUCGAGGAGUUUCGCAGACAUAACUCCUUGGGAGCAGUGCCCAGGUCAAGAAAGAAAAUGUGGCCAAUGCCCCAGGAUCUUAUUUGGUCAUCCAGGCUGGACUGCAGUGGUGUGAUCAUAGCUCACUGCAGCCUCAAACUGCUGGACUCCAGUGAUCUUCCAGCCUCAGCCUCCCCCGGUAGCAAGGACUACAGGUCUCACUCUCUGUCGCCCAGCCUGGAGUGCAGUGGCAUCAUCUGAGCUCACUACAACCUCCGCCUCCCGGGUUCAAGCGAUUCUCCUGCCUCAGCCUCCUGAGUAGCUGGGACUACAGGCACGCGCCACCACGCCCAGCUAAUUUUCGUAUUUUUAAUAGACAUGGGGUUUCACCAUGUUGGCCAGGCUGCUCUUGAACUGCUAACCUCAAGUGAUCCACCAGCGUUGGCCUCUCAAAGUACUAGGAUUACAGUGCUAGGAGCCACCAUGCCCGGCCGCCUCUCUUUUCUUUUACACAUGAAGAAAAAGUGGUCAGAGAAGUUAACUUGGUCAGUGCCAAAAGCACUGGAAGUGAGUAGGACCAAGCUUUUCAUCUAGAUUUGUUUGUUAGACUCUAAAUCCAAAUUCACAACAAGAUCAGAAUAUGAGAAACCUAAGGAACAAAAUUCUAGGAAUCAUUUCUAGAAACUGUGGCUAUUGAAAAAGCACAGACCUAGGGAAUCAAAUUAUUUUCCCUGCCACCAGCACAUGGGUAGGCCUGUGACAAAUUCCAUGCUCUGGACCCCAGAUUCCUCAGUGAGAAUAGAAGGGGCUAGAGACAUCAGGGAAUUGGAUUUGGUGACUUUAAUACCCACUCAGCUCCAAAGCAUUCUUGAAUGAUGCACGAUUUAUGAAUAUAUAUAUUGAAAUUUACUGAUGGGUGAACAGCUCUCAACAUGAGAUUUUUGUUGUAUGCCUUAAAAAAGAUUAUACAUAAAUAUGCGUGUGUGUGUGUAUGUAUGUUUCGAUGUAUAUGAACCCAUGAUCUGAAAAAUGGCCACUGUGGCUUGUGGAAACCUAUUAAUCUCUGCUGUUCCACCCAACAUCCUCAGAGAAAAAAAUAAACAACUUUUUGAAAGUGCUGCCAUGGGGUCAGACCAAAUACUGUGGCCACUUCCAAGGGGUUUGCCUUGAUUUGCCUGGAUUCCUGUUCAUGUGACAUCUGCCUUCUAAUUCAAGGAUAUGAUCAAUUCAAUGUGUGAGUUAUCAAUCAAGGACUGGCAACAGUGAUGCUGAACAAGCCUGGUGGAAGGAAAGAGAAGGCAGGCCAGAGCCCAGACAGACGCAUUCACAAACCUUACAAAGAGGACAGGCUAAUUAGGGGCUGUAGUUCUCCCUCUCUUUAUAGUUGGUAUAAGAGGAGUGGUAAUCGUAGUGUCCAAAAAUAUAUGGGCUACAUAGUUGCUUAGUAAGCUGUGGGUAUGUGGUUUCUUCUGCAAGGUGCUUUCUUUCUGAUAAAGAGAUUACGUUGUUUGUUUGUUCAUUUAUUGAACAUAUUUACACUUACACACACACACACACACACACACAAUGUUCCAGAUACCGUACUUGGCAAUGGUAGUUAGACCUUGCUCUUGCAAAAUUUAUAAUGAAGUUGGGAAGUGUGGUUUGAUCCCUCAAAGUGUCCAAAUCCUAAUCCCCAG